rnacentral:lncRNA from 1 species
CUGAAACAUUUGGGGCUGAUGCAGAGGAGAAGAAUUAAUUAGCAGCUCCCUCUCUUGGUGUUCUUUUUCAGCCUUCUCAAAUUGCACCACAAGAGUCCCUUAGACAUGCUGGCUGCUCAUUUGAUAAUCUGUGUUUUUCUCAGUACAAAAGGUUGCUGGCUAAGUUUUGUGAGCCCCUCUAAUGUCAGGCUGACAGUGUCUUGGGUUCAAUUAACAAGAAAAUUUACAGUAACAUUUUGUCAAUGAAGAAGUACUUGAAUUCACAGAACUGUCUUGGAAAGCCCUGGCUUUUACAUUUCUGUAGUAGACUGGCCCAUGCUGUGGAAGAGGAAGGUGGUGGACAAAAAAUGUACUCCCAGGCCUCUUGUUCUCAAACCUUCUGGAGAGAAUAGUGAAGACCCCCGCCCAGAACCUUCCUGUUUAAGGUCUCCCUGUUGACUUCCUGUAGUGGAUGUGACUGCGUGCCAGGUGCCAGCUGAAGACCCCUGUCACCGACUUUGCCCUGUGGGAAAAGAGUAAACAAUGGCCUCCUCCUAUA